rnacentral:sRNA from 1 species
UUUUUUGUUGAUUUUUU